rnacentral:rRNA from 1 species
GAUGAACGCUGGCGGCGUGCCUAAUACAUGCAAGUCGAGCGAACAGAUGAGGAGCUUGCUCCUCUGACGUUAGCGGCGGACGGGUGAGUAACACGUGGAUAACCUACCUAUAAGACUGGGAUAACUUCGGGAAACCGGAGCUAAUACCGGAUAAUAUAUUGAACCGCAUGGUUCAAUAGUGAAAGACGGUCUUGCUGUCACUUAUAGAUGGAUCCGCGCUGCAUUAGCUAGUUGGUAAGGUAACGGCUUACCAAGGCAACGAUGCAUAGCCGACCUGAGAGGGUGAUCGGCCACACUGGAACUGAGACACGGUCCAGACUCCUACGGGAGGCAGCAGUAGGGAAUCUUCCGCAAUGGGCGAAAGCCUGACGGAGCAACGCCGCGUGAGUGAUGAAGGUCUUCGGAUCGUAAAACUCUGUUAUUAGGGAAGAACAAAUGUGUAAGUAACUAUGCACAUCUUGACGGUACCUAAUCAGAAAGCCACGGCUAACUACGUG